GAUGAACGCUGGCGGCGUGCCUAAUACAUGCAAGUCGAGCGAACAGACGAGGAGCUUGCUUCUCUGACGUUAGCGGCGGACGGGUGAGUAGCACGUGGAUAACCUACCUAUAAGACUGGGAUAACUUCGGGAAACCGGAGCUAAUACCGGAUAAUAUAUUGAACCGCAUGGUUCAAUAGUGAAAGACGGUUUUGCUGUCACUUAUAGAUGGAUCCGCGCCGCAUUAGCUAGUUGGUAAGGUAACGGCUUACCAAGGCAACGAUGCGUAGCCGACCUGAGAGGGUGAUCGGCCACACUGGAACUGAGACACGGUCCAGACUCCUACGGGAGGCAGCAGUAGGGAAUCUUCCGCAAUGGGCGAAAGCCUGACGGAGCAACGCCGCGUGAGUGAUGAAGGUCUUCGGAUCGUAAAACUCUGUUAUUAGGGAAGAACAAAUGUGUAAGUAACUAUGCACGUCUUGACGGUACCUAAUCAGAAAGCCACGGCUAACUACGUG
rnacentral:rRNA from 1 species